rnacentral:lncRNA from 1 species
CUCUUUUUCAAUUGCGCUGCCAUGGCAACCUGGCUCCUCCCUUGGACUCCAGGCGACGACAAAAGAAAGGCAGCGAGCGUCACUGACUGUCAGCUACGCAACACGCUGCUACUGCUACUACAGCCGCCGCAGCAUCAGUGGCAGCAUCGAGAGUUGAGCUCCGGGCCAGCAGCCCUCGUUUCUUUGCUCCUGCGGAGUCCGGUCGGACAGCAGAGCUCCUUUUCCUUCCGCUUGCCAUUGUGACGAGACGCGUUCUAGGUCGUUGGGGCAACGAAGCUGUGUGGAGCGCCUACCUGACUGCGUGAAAGGCAAAGGGCGGCCGCGCCAGCCCGACAGGCUCGAAGGGGCGCGCGGGGAUGCAGCGCUGGCGAUGGCGGAGGCGUGCCGGACUACCCGCCGCCUUCCUCGGCUUCUGCUGCCCCCUCCUCACGCUGACGUUGUUCCUGCUGCACGGGGUCACGUUAGUUUGUUGUUUCACCAGUCCAGAUCCUAGUUCGCUGAAAGUCGUAGGAUCAACAAAUUUGCCAGUCAAAGUUUAUGUCAAAUUGAAUCACAAUAGCCCACGAAUUCUAUGUGUAACGAAUCGCUUGAGAAAUUCAGAAUUAAUAGACCCAAUAUUUCAGUGGCAUGGACCAG